rnacentral:lncRNA from 1 species
UCGUCCCAGACCCAAAGGAGAGGUGGCAACUACCUGAAGCCGGUUUGGUGAGUUCUUAUAUGGUUUCCAGGGGCAGAAUAGAGCAUCAGCAACUAGGCACAAUAUUAUUGGCGGAACAGUGUGCCCUUUAAACUGAUUGGUCUUUAGGGAAUGAGGUAGUAGGGGCUUACUCAGCCUCUCCCUUCUGGCCUAAGUGCUCUCUGACCUGUCUCUUCCAGGAAAGGCAGUUGGGGGAGGGGAGGAGAGUCUGGCUGAAUUUUCUAAUGACUGAGCUGAUCUCUUCAGAAGAGUGAGUCUUCCUUCUUCCAAUGUCCUUUAAGUAGGUCUCCAGCAGAAGGUGUGGCCCAGAUUAAAGGUGUGUACCACCAUGCUUGAAUCUGGGACUUGCUUUGUCCCGGACUGACCUUGAACUCAGAUAUCUGCUUGCCUCGGUUUCCUGGGAUUAAAAUCGUGUACUAACUUACGUGGGCCUAUGCUUUUCAUAGCCAGUAUGCCUCAAGAUCUCCAUGCCAAGAUCCAGGUCAGAAACUUGUGUCUUCCAGCCUCAAGAUCUGGAUCACAGGUGUGCCCUCCAAUUCUGGAUUGUAGUUGAUCCCAGAUAUAGUCAAGUUGGCAACCAGGAACGGCCGUUACAGUAAGCUUUCCUGGGGCUUGUGUGCUGCCCACCUGUGAUCUGAGCCACACUAGGAACCUCUUAUCUCCAGUCCUCACUUCCACCCAUCACUGGGUACCCCAUCCUUCAGUGGCAAUUGGUAAGUUCUUCCUCUCAGUCAGAGUAAAUGCUUCCCUGAGUCUCUGGCAAAGGUCAUCUGACCAUUUCCCUUGGGUGAGUUUUCAAGCACAGUUUUCACCUUCUGGAUUCAUUUGAAAGUCCUGAUACCAAGUGUCUUAGGGUUUUACUGCUGUGAACAGACGCCAUGACCAAGGCAGCUCUUAUAAGGAUAACAUUUAGUUGGGUCUGGCUUACAGGUUCAGAGGUUCAGUCCAUUAUCAUCAAGGCAGGAGAAUGGCAGCAUCCAGGCAGUCAUGGUACGGGAGGAGAGUUCUACAUCUUGUUCCCAAGGCAAAUAGGAGAAGACUAGUUUCCAGGCAGCUAGGAUGUGGGUCUUAAAGCCCACACCCACAGUGACACAACUACUCCAACAAGCCAUACCUCCAAAUAGUGCCACUCCCUGGGCCAAGAGGAUUCAAACUGUGACACCAGGCAUUCCACCAAGGUACCUUUCACUGCCUUAUCCUAACAAUCACCUCCCAAAAUGCCACCAGCAAGCAUUCAGCUCCUGAGCCUGUGAGGAAUGCUUUUAUCUCAAAUCCUGACUCUGGGAGUUGAGUGAUUUAUCUGGCCCACAAAACCAUCAGCCCAAUGGUUUAGGCUUCUUCCUUCUUCCUUCUUCCUUCUUCCUUCUUCCUUCUUCCUUCUUCCUUCUCCUUCUCCUUCUCCUUCCCCUUCCCCUUCUCCUUCUCCUUCUUCUUCUCCUUCUUCUCCUUCUCCUCCUCCUCCUCUCCUUUCCUCCUUCUCCUCUUCUUCCUCCUCCUCUUCCUCCCCCUCCUCUUCCUCCUCUUCCUCCUCUUUCACUUUUUUUUUUUAAUGAAAAAGUAAAAGCUGCAAAUCUCCCAGAUGUCUGCUCAAUAGAGUUCUGUUCUAGCUCCUUCAAGGCUUAUCUGCAAGCACACAGCAACUCUGACCUUGCAAGCAACUUGAAGAGUCUGAGGUAGAGAUGAGAGAGCAUCCUAUGCAGGCAGGAGCAGUGUGGGCUACAGUUGCAAGCAUGGUCCAGGCAUGUCCAAGCAUGCCCAGAUUGCAAAGGAGCAAGGGCCUCUUCGUGGUCCAAAGCCUUCUCAAUGAAGGACGGCAUCCCUGUGGCUCCACGCUCGGCACACACCUGAGGGGGAAGUGUGGUCCCUUGAGAAGGUCCUGAAAAGUUAAUGUUGAACCGCUUGUUACCAUGGACACAACAGCUGUUUGCAGCACUGGUCUUUCCGUGGUCGGUGAGGAUGCUCUGUAAAACCAGCAAACCCACCACGGUUCCCUGUCUCAAGGCACACUUCCUGGGCAAAGGAAGCACGUGGCCUCACCAACAGACACAGAAGUGGGAAAGAGAGAAGGUGAGUGUGUGCAGGAACCAACUUGCAAGAACUAAAGUGACUGAGCUGUAGCUCUGUGGGACC